AAUAUAAAAUAUAAUGCACUUUAGAUCUGAAAAUAAAAACAUACAUCGAUCUCAUCGAUGCUGAAAUCCUAGAUCUAACUAUAUGAUCAAAAUAAAUUAGUAACAAUUACAAAAUUAAUUUUAUCUUAUUCUCCUCUAGUUCAACACUUGGAGAUGAUGUUCCUCAGGUUGCUCAUAGCCACACAAAGAUAUCUGGCCUCU
rnacentral:lncRNA from 1 species